UGUCGCCUACGGGACGCAGCAGUGAGGAAUAUUGGUCAAUGGGAGAGAUCCUGAACCAGCCAAGCCGCGUGAGGGAAGACGGCCCUACGGGUUGUAAACCUCUUUUGCCGGGGAGCAACGGGCGUCACGUGUGGCGCCACUGAGAGUACCCGGAGAAAAAGCAUCGGCUAACUCCGUGCCAGCAGCCGCGGUAAUACGGAGGAUGCGAGCGUUAUCCGGAUUUAUUGGGUUUAAAGGGUGCGUAGGCGGACCGUUAAGUCAGUGGUCAAAUUGAGGGGCUCAACCCCUUCCCGCCAUUGAAACUG
rnacentral:rRNA from 1 species